AGUGAACGCUGGCGGCAUGCCUUACACAUGCAAGUCGAACGGCAGCACGGGAGCAAUCCUGGUGGCGAGUGGCGAACGGGUGAGUAAUAUAUCGGAACGUGCCCAGUCGUGGGGGAUAACGCAGCGAAAGCUGUGCUAAUACCGCAUACGAUCUACGGAUGAAAGCGGGGGAUCGCAAGGCCUCGCGCGAUUGGAGCGGCCGAUAUCAGAUUAGCUAGUUGGUGGGGUAAAAGCCCACCAAGGCGACGAUCUGUAGCUGGUCUGAGAGGACGACCAGCCACACUGGAACUGAGACACGGUCCAGACCCCUACGGGAGGCAGCAGUGGGGAAUUUUGGACAAUGGGCGCAAGCCUGAUCCAGCAAUGCCGCGUGCAGGAUGAAGGCCUUCGGGUUGUAAACUGCUUUUGUACGGAACGAAACGGUCUGCCCUAAUACGGUGGGCUAAUGACGGUACCGUAAGAAUAAGCACCGGCUAACUACGUGCCAGCAGCCGCCGUAA
rnacentral:rRNA from 1 species